rnacentral:rRNA from 1 species
AAACCAACAGGGAUUGCCCUAGUAACGGCNAGUGAAGCGGCAACAGCUCAAAUUUGAAAUCUGGCUUUCGGGCCCGAGUUGUAAUUUGUAGAGGAUGAUUUUGAUGCGGUGCCUUCCGAGUUCCCUGGAACGGGACGCCAUAGAGGGUGAGAGCCCCGUCUGGUUGGAUGCCAAAUCUCUGUAAAUCUCCUUCGACGAGUCGAGUAGUUUGGGAAUGCUGCUCUAAAUGGGAGGUAUAUGUCUUCUAAAGCUAAAUACCGGCCAGAGACCGAUAGCGCACAAGUAGAGUGAUCGAAAGAUGAAAAGCACUUUGAAAAGAGAGUUAAAAAGUACGUGAAAUUGUUGAAAGGGAAGCGUUUAUGACCAGACUUGGGCUUGGUUAAUCAUCUGGGGUUCUCUCCAGUGCACUUUUCCAGUCCAGGCCAGCAUCAGUUUUCGCCGGGGGAUAAAGGCUUCGGGAAUGUGGCUCCCCUCGGGGAGUGUUAUAGCCCGUUGUGUAAUACCCUGGUGGGGACUGAGGUCGCGCUUCUGCAAGGAUGCUGGCGUAAUGGUCAUCAACGAC